AGCGAACGCUGGCGGCAGGCCUAACACAUGCAAGUCGAACGAACCUUUCGGGGUUAGUGGCGGACGGGUGAGUAGCACGUGGGAACGUGCCUUUAGGUUCGGAAUAACUCAGGGAAACUUGUGCUAAUACCGAAUGUGCCCUUCGGGGGAAAGAUUAAUCGCCUUUAGAGCGGCCCGCGUCUGAUUAGCUAGUUGGUUGAGGUAAUGGCUCACCAAGGCGACGAUCAGUAGCUGGUCUGAGAGGAUGAUCAGCCACAUUGGGACUGAGACACGGCCCAAACUCCUACGGGAGGCAGCAGUGGGGAAUCUUGCGCAAUGGGCGAAAGCCUGACGCAGCCAGGCCGCGUGAAUGAUGAAGGUCUUAGGAUUGUAAAAUUCUUUCACCGGGGACGAUAAUGACGGUACCCGGAGAAGAAGCCCCGGCUAACUUCGU
rnacentral:rRNA from 1 species